UACGUAGGGGGCAGGCGUUGUCCGGAUUUAUUGGGCGUAAAGAGCGUGUAGGCGGCUAGGUAGGUCCGUUGUGAAAACUCGAGGCUCAACCUCGAGACGUCGAUGGAAACCAUCUAGCUAGAGUCCGGAAGAGGAGAGUGGAAUUCCUGGUGUAGCGGUGAAAUGCGCAGAUAUCAGGAAGAACACCCGUGGCGAAGGCGGCUCUCUGGUACGUGACUGACGCUGAGACGCGAAAGCGUGGGGAGCGAACAGG
rnacentral:rRNA from 1 species